AACAAAAUAUCUAUUGCUUGUCACGAUUCUUAUGUCAUGUCACGGUUUUAGUUUGGUGUGUCUGGUAAUGGGUGUUUUGCUGUUCGGUUCUCCCUGUC